CCCAAAUGUGGAAAUCUUGAUUGCAUAAUUUAUGGUAGUGGGGGACUGCGUUCGCGCUCGCCCCUG
rnacentral:snRNA from 8 species